ACUGAGGCUAAUUAGAAAGGAAUAUGUUAAGUCCUUCUGUCUCUUCCCCUUCCUGUGCAUGAUCUCUGAUGUGACAUCUAUGAUUGUUCUGUUACUUCUGGCCCACCUUAAAACGUUUUAUUAUCUAAGAAAGUUUCCAGACCGUUCCCAUUUUCUCUUCUAUUUACAUUUUUAAAUAAUCACUCUUUCUCCCUAACAAAAUAAACAUUACACUCUUUCAUUGAGGGUCAUAUUUUCCAGAUCUCUGACCACUUUUGCAGACACAUACUGGGAGUUUAUCAAGAGGUCCACAUUACUCUGGAAGUGUACUACCUAAUUGCUCAAGAUAGAUGUGUAGUGAAACAAAGAAGAAAAGUUAAUGGUGAUUGAAAAAAGGGUUAGAGUCCUGAAUAUGGAAUUUGGAAAGAGGUCUAUAUUUUCUAUUUUGCGUACAGAUUUUGUCAGUGUUCCAAAUAACAACAAAUUUGGAUGACUGACACAGAAUAACCUGGAAACGGCUUACAAAGCAUAUUGAAUCCUACUUACAGCAUGUAAGCAAUGACUCCUACACUCCACAUGUCUGUGGGAAAGGAGACAAAUUCAUAAUUCACAACUUCAGGAGCAAGAAAUUCAGGAGUCCCAAAGUUUACUCGAAGUUUUUCCCGGGGUUUAUAUCUAGGCAAAGGAAACAUUAACAAAGGACAUUAUAGCUCUGAAGUUAUAUCGUAAGUUGUCCAGCACUUAGUGGGAUUUCAGAAGCAUAUAUGACAUUCAGGAGGAGAUCAAGGACAGAUAGAAGUACAAAUUAAAAAUAAAUACUACCCAUACAUAGGAAUGAAAAACAUUUGUAAGCUUAUAUCAUACUUCAGGGUAAAACUCAACAACUAAACCAGCUAAGAAAUUCAGAUUUCAAAGAUGACUUAGGGCAGCUGUUAUCAUCCUUUGGAUUCUUCCUCAUAUCAUAGGUUACGGUAUCUGCUUAAAGAACAAAGUGAUAAAGCAUGAAUUGUAUUGUAAAAGGCCCUGAUGUUCUCUCACACUCUCUUUUGAAGAAUCUCAUAACACUGGGACAAGAGAACAGUCAAGAGGUUCCACAAAUUUAGUCGAUUUUAGCUGUACCAGUAUACUUAUUUGUUAGAAUCGGACCUCUUUCAACCUUCAACCUGAAAAAGGUUUCAGAACAAAACUUUUUUUACCCAACAUCAAACAUUCCUUAUUAAAAGAUGUCUUUGGUUAGAAGAACCAACUUGUCGCAAGAGCAGUAGGAGACCAUUAUGUGUGUAACUGCAAAGAAGUAACACUUAUUUGAUUCUUUCCUAAUUCAUUUACAAUUAGUAAUAUAACAUAGGCACAUACCUUCUUGCCAGUCCAAAAUCAAUAAUUUUUAUUUGAUUUGCAGAUCGGUUCACACACAGGAUAUUCUCAGGCUACCAAGAGAAACCAGAAAACACUUCAAUGAGAAACAAGCAUGACAAACAGGGCUUUUAGAAAACUAUUGAGUGAAAGCUACUGAAAACAGGUUCCAGGUGGAUCACAAAGAUUCCAAUGCUGAUUCUGUUUUUCAUGGUGGAAAGUGCUGAAAGAAGCAUGGAAAACCCUUGGACUUAUUCAUUCUGCAAUGUGACUGCAAUUAGUAAUGCACUUGGAUUCCUGGUGAGAUUGUUUCAGAUCUACUGGAGCUGGCUGAAGUCAAUGGGCUCCUUCCUCCUGCCCAGACACCUGCUGCAGAAGACAUGGUUCAUCCAGGGCACGUGUCCCCAAGAUGUCCAGCUGGGUGGAGACGCCCAUCGCCAAGAUGUCUAUGUGCAGGCAGCCAGGCCAGUCCCCUCAAGAAUCUGCAGCCUGUGAGCACCCAAGGCCAUCAUGCUUUUCUGAAAACUUCAUCUGAAAAGCAUGGAAGUUUCUUAAUAGCAUCCAUCCUGCCUGCCUACUCUUCAUGACAUUUUUCUUCCUUCAGUCUGAUAACUGUGCUCUCUCAAGAGAUCUUUUAAUUCAAUCCUGGUGAGGUUUCAAUUAUUCAUGUAUUAUUCAUCCUGAAAUCUGGUGACAUGUGAUUCUUUUCUGUCUAUAAUUUCUAAAAGUAUAUGUAUCAAUAUUUCUAAGUGCAGAUUAGACUUCCACCCUAUUGCUUUGCCUUUAUUUAAUGAUCUGAGUAUAUAUAACUAGGAUUAUGGCACUACAGACAUUUUCUCUAUCCAUAGCAGCCAGAAGUUUUCAAUGAAGUUUUCAUUUUAAUACCAGAAAAUGUUAAGUACUAAAGGUUACACUGCGAUCCCACAAAACAUACCAAAGCAAAAAGGUGUCUUCACCUACAAAAGUUGGUAUUGUGUAUUCAAAAAUACAUUUUGUAAACGUUAACACACCCUUUCAUAAAGAACUUUGCUAGACCCUAAGUAACAGAGAGAGAAUAGAAACCCACAUGGUGAUAACAGAAUAAUGCAAGAUAUUCUAGAAGCUAAAACUUCAGUAUAGAAAAUGGAAAAAAAAAAAAAAACAAUUUUGAAAAUUCUUUAAAUCAACUUUAAAAAGUACAUCAUGAACCUUGCAGAAAUUAAGCAAUAAGAAAUCGUAUGUAUAAAUAUAAUAUAUUUUAACAGAGAUUUAAAAUGCAGUGAGAGAUUAAUGCUUUUUAUAGACAUCUGACCCUUUUUUAAUGAGCUGCACUUAGUUAAAUUCCUUCUUUAUACCGAAGCAGUCUUAACCUUGGAAUGUUUUCCUAGCUAACUUUCAAUUUUUUUUAUACACCUAAUAAAACUCUUUGAUUUUUUUUCCUACUGCAAAAAAAUUUUUGUAAUGAAUGGCCUCACGAUGCAGCCCCAAGCUUUUAGCUAAAGGUCCUUUAUCACUCCAUCACAUUUCAUUUGAUGUCAAGACGUUAUUCUCAACUUCAUUCAGCCGAGAUCGACAUGCAAUAUCGCACACAUCUAGAACACCUUUCUGACUUAGGUUCUAUUUCUCAGGUUCUUAAGAUACCUUGUAGGUCAUUGUUACUACAAGUUAUCCUGGUUUAGUAUCAGAUCUGAUCACCAUCCAUUCAUCAAUAUAAUUGUAGUUAGUCAAGCUUUGUGAAGAUUUCAUUUCAUUAACAGCCAGAAAUUAGCCACGGUUUUUUUUCCACUUGGCCACCAUGAGAUGAAUGCUUUCGCUACUUCCACACCGGUACAUGGGAGAAUACACUGUGUACAGUGGAGAUCCUGGGGCACCAGAAUGCAUUGUGAUGCCUCCUGCACUAUCCCCAGAACCCAGUGCUCAGCCUCUCCUUCACUUUUAUUUUCCUCUUCAAUGUUCAUGCCUUUUUUGUCUUCCUUCCAAGAACCCAGCAAUGCCGAACAAUUCUGAUAUAAGCUUAUAAACGGUAGAAAAUACACACGUGGGAACUCUAAUUUCCUGGCAGGUGAUACAUCUGUCAUGCGACUUUAUUUUUUGCUAUGCUACACAACCCAUUGGCACCUUCUGGCAGAAAGAAUAUCUUCCACAAAACUUACAGUGCUCUUUGAAGUAGAUAAAGAAAUCACUCUUCUGUGUAAUUCAAACACAAGUCACAGGGCUCUUUCAAUCACACAUCAAAACACAUUAGCCAUGAGAAUCAUAAUUCCCUCUCUAGGAAAUAUAAGAGAAUUUGUGUGUGACAUGCUGUCUUAAAAAGCCAUCGGUAAUAAUCUCCUCAUGAAGACACAUACUAAACGCAGAAAACUCCCUUAGGAUAACAUCAUCCUAGGUGAGACUGCCUCACAUCUCUCCUUCUCCACACUUCUUGAUGUCUUCUCAUGUGUGAUGACUGACAGGGUCCCAUGUGCUUCACAGGUUGCGCAUGUGCAUCACAUGUACCCGCAUCACAUCCCAAAAGCUUUCCAGGUGCCAUUCUGCACAUUUUUCACAUUACUGUUAAAUGUCUCAUCCUCUGUAGUGAGCUCCACUGACUCCACUGUGAGAAAGGAGGGGAAAAGUUCAGCUCAAAACUCAACAAAACUCAUGAAUCCCCCACCUGUCAAUUGCUGGAGCAAUUUUUUGCUACAGCAUCCAUUAAGAACACUCAUUCACAUUUCACACCUUUACUAACUUAUCUGUGCUAAGCAUGUAAUGAUAUCCAUGGCAAAUAUGUUCAGUCUUCUUGAACAGUCCUUCAUAAGCUGCUUUUGGGAAAUCACACUGCUGGGAGACUUCCAAAGAGUUACAAACUUCAAAAACCAUUCCCUGCAGCUUUGAUGACUCACUUUUAAAUGGACUCCAGAAACACAGGUUUCCUGAAAACGAACUUCAUUUAACAAGAAGGGGCUCUGGGUGUGUUGCGGGGGAGGGAAGAUCUCUUCAUUUCCCCCUUACAGACAUAUUUUCCUGUGGCACCUCACCACAAAGGCAGCACAUAGCAAAAGGAAUGUGCUUGGACUCAUCCCAGGCUCGGCUGGGGCUGCUGCCCAGCCAAGCAUCGCUGCUCCUUGUCACUGGUGCAUGUGUAUGCAAAGCCCAGGAUGCUGCCAAUGCAACACCAAAUCAAUUACAUUCUUGAGUAGCUUCCCUUGUCAUCAAAAGCCAGCAUGAUGAGGGGAUGAGGGCUCUGCAUUUAAUUGCAAUGGCACACUCUCCUACAGGAGGAGGCAUUCAAGCAUGGCAUCCUAACUAGAAACUGAUAUAUCUGACUCUUGCUAGAGGACUCCUGAAAAUUGAUUAAAUAGAUAGAACUCCUGAUGUCAAAAGGUGGACUGUAGAUAACUGGAGUGAGCCAAGACUUCUUGCCUGAGCAAACCCCUCCUACCACUGUCUCCCCUCUUCAAAGGAGCCUUCUUUUACAGGACUGCUCCCUGAUGACUUUUGUCUUGCUCUCCUGCACUCACCAGUUACCUCUGUAUCUCAUGAGGUCUCUUUAGAUUUGCAAAGGAAUCGUAGUGGAUUCCUGAAAUGGUGGCUGUAAUGUGCAGGCAUUAAUGUCAUACCAAAAAGCAAUGUGAGGCUAUGUGCAGGUGUUUAGAAAUCAGCAGUGCCUGCUUUGAUUUCACACAUUCCUCGGGUAAAGAGGGAGCAAAACUGCAACUGCAGUGCCCAGGGCUGGACCCCAAGGAAUAUUGACAGCACAGAGCAAGUUCAGAUGUUAAAGAAAGCAAAAGUAUACAAUCUUCUCAAUUGGAAGGGCAUGAAAAAUCUCCUAUGGGUGUCAGUAAGGGAGAAAGCGGGGCAAAACAAGAUGAAGAUGUCUUGUCUGGAGAAAACUUAAUGGCUUUGUUCAGAAAAAGUGAGGGAGAUAAUUAUAACUCUAAUAAUUUAUGGCUCGUUCAAAAACUGGAAUACCUCUACUGAGGACCUAUUUGGGGAAAGGCAUCGGUUCUGAGGGCCAGAGAAGCACUCCCAGAUACAAAGGCAACUAAAGCCACUGACACUGUUGCCCAAGCAGCUGAGUUGCCCACAUCUGCUGAGAUCCUACAGAAAGGCUCUGCCCUCUAACCUACUGAGGAUUGCAGAAACUCUUGCAGACAGAAUAAAAAAAGAAAAUGAAACAACUCCUGCCUGUUUGGCUGUAAUAUGAAAUAUUCACAGAACACGGCCAAUCUGGAGAGAAGGAAAAUAAUGCAUGAGGGACCAGUUAAUAUUUAUAGGCAAAAUGAAGGAAUCAGAAUGAUGGUUACAGGCUGAGGCUGAAUGGAUCUUAAAACACAGAUUGCAAACAGAAGUUUAAUUGCCAACUUCAACUAAAGCAACGAGUGACUUGCACCAUGAUACUUGUGCAGGAGGGACAGAGGGUUCAAACAGAAAGCACAGCUCCCACUGCUGGGGAGUUUCAAUGUGGGAAACAGCCUCAAACUGCUAAUAGUUAUUAGUCCUGUGGCAAAGCCUGCAGAAAUGGCAACUGACCAAAGCUACAGCAAGCUGCAAGCAAAUGCAGAAAGUUCAACAUCACUUUAUGAUGGCAACAAAAGGGACUUUAUGACCCUCCAGGUGAGUAUUUGCAGGUUAAUAGUACAGAAUCUCUAAACUGUUUAAUUUGGAGGAAAUAAGUGAAAUAUUAUUUUACCCUCCUUCCUGAUAGGUGGAAGGAAUAAGACUGAAAGUGGAGUUACAGUGUCAUUUUGCAACAGGAUUAUCACGGACUACUUAGAAAGGUGAAAUUGAGGAAAACCUCAAGAUUUUAAAGACACUGCUGUAGAACUGCUGAUUUCCCUGAGUGGUAGUAGUGAGAAAAAAAAAAAAAAAACUUAGAAAAACAAGUAAUGCAUGCUUCUCCUCUCAGCCACUGUGAUGGGGUCAUGCCGUAUGUGGUGGAAAAUGGCUGGGAGACAUUUGGCAGCACUGACAAAGCGUGAAGUGUCUGCAGUCUGCACAAUAUUAUAACUGCAGCCCAAAACAGAAAUAAACUAAGCUCCUGUACAAGGCAGCAGUGGUAUUUCAGGAUGGCAGUAAAAGGCAGGAAAACAGAAAUUUUGCUUCAGAAAAGAGUGAUCCCUAUAUUUUGCAGAGCACAAGAAGUCCCAGUGGGGCCUGUGAUCUGGAAACUGUUCCAGAUGCUGCUGAAGCCAGAAGUGAAAUUGCUUAUUAUCAGCUGCUUGUCACCACUUCUUUACAUCUCUCCCAUUGCCCUUCUUCCCACCCGACAGAGGCAACUGUCCCCUUUGUUCCAUCUCUUCAACUGCUCUGUAUCCAAUUCUGUAAAAUGAGCCAGUUAGGAAACAGUCAAAACCAAUUUUACAAUUAAUAAAGCAAAGAGCACCUCUCUUAAGAGGGAAGGAUAGGAGGACAGGUCACUAAGCAAUAUAUGAACACAACACACUGCUUUAUCUGGAUGCAUCAUGAUCACCUCUUGCACAACCUACAAGUAAUUAGGGCUGAUUGGAUUAUUUUGCAGAUCCAGGCUGAGGACAGCCAGCUAUCUGUCAGGCAGCUCAGCCACCUCAGCUCAGCAGCACAUGGCAUGGCCACUGGGAAAGGUGGGUAAGGCACAUCAUCCCAAACAUUGGACCACAUCUAGCAGUGCACAAAAGCAGGUGCUGUCUUUCCAAACAGGUGAAUGGAUCACCUUCUCAUGACCAUAAGGAAACAGAACAGAGCUGUGCCUGUCUAAACUGUUGCAGGAUUGCUCAGUAAUGCCAUAUGGAGGCCAAUCGGGAUAACAAAGAUGUUGGUCUUACUGACUGGUGACUGGCAAUUCUGCAUUGUUGGAAAUUGUUUUCAGGUGGGGACCAGGGACAGCAAUAAAGAUUUUGCUAACAGAAGCAAGGGUCUCACCUAACAGUGUAGGUCUAUUCAUUGCUAUGCUGCCAGGUAUCACUGGUACAUCUCAGGUGCAAAACUCUGCAAGGGUGAGAAGAUAUCUAACCCCCUAUUUCUCAGUUUCUUAGCCCUUCUUUUUCCUUUUGUCACAAUAAUUUAAAACCUCAUUUGUAAAUCUGUUCUGUAUAUGUGGCAGGCAGAGGCACAAGCAACCAACUUCAUGGAGUCUUAUGGACCAUGCUUUUCACUAUCUUGCUCAGAGAUGCUUUUCACUAUUAGGCAGAAAAGUCUGUUUGUUCUGAAUGCAGAUAAAUGCUGGCUGCUACUAAACCAACAGGCACGUUCGACAGUCUCUGCUGAGGGACAUUGUACCCUCCCAUUGCUCCUAAUGUAUGGCUGAAUUCAGGUCUGUUUUUACUUAAAACCAAGUGGACUUAGUGUUUACUAAAGACAUCUGUUGUUCACAAGAAAGGCAGAUAAUUUUAUGAUGGUCCUAUGCUAAUAAAUCAAACAUACAGACAGGAAGAUAAUGACAGGCUAACAUAUGUAUGCUAUCUAAUAAAACAAACAAAAUAUUAGCAAAGUAAUACUAUCAGCAGCAUGACUCCAGACAUGCUCCUGCUGCCCUGGUGCUAGACAAGUUCCCACUAAAGACUCUUUACCUCACCAAAAGUCACUCUGAACAACAAUGGAAUAGUGAGGAGAUUACAAAUGGAGAUGCUGUUGGAAUAAAGACGGAGAUCCCAAUCACCCCUCCUCUCUUUGGGUCUUUUUAUCAAAUCCAAGCCUUCACAUCUGGAAACCCUCCCAUCCCAGCUCCCUCGUCAGGAACAUCACUUCCUCCCCACGGCACCAGCCAUGACCUGCCUCAUCUGCUGCACAAACCUGCACCCACACAUUCACCAGUGAAGCCACCAUGGUCCCCUUCUCUCUCUUAAUCCACAAUUGUACCACAGACAGCUUCUGUCACAGAUAUAGGAUACAGCGAUCCUACCAUUAAAUAGACGACCUGUGGGCCUCCCUGUGAACAGAACUUUCACAACAGACGUUUUCAGUGAUGUUUUAAAAAGCAAAAGAAGCCAUGAGAACAAAAUAAAAAUCUUUUCUCAUCAAUGUAAUGGUACAAAAGGUGAAAAAUUCUCUUUUGUUCAAAUUCAUUCAUUGAAAUCAGUCCAACUUGAUGUUCAAAGGAGGCCUGUAAAAAUCACUUUUAUUGUUUGUGCUGUUUAGCAGGGCAGCUACUUUUCCCUUUAGUUACUGAUGUUAUGGAAACAAGGCAGCACAGGUUAUAUCCUUACCUAGUGAUGAAUCAUCCAGUUCAAUGGACGGAUCUUUACAGGAUGUUCUUCUGCUGCUAUUCAGCAGUGACUACUGUUAAAGUUCCUGUAAUGGCUCAAAUGCAUCUUGCCUAACUGAGAAAUGGAAUUGCCUAAGAGUAAGCAAGCUAAAAAGCACUUGGUAUGCUGAGGACAGCAUUCCAAGUAAUACUGGGCACCUCUGUUUUCAAGGAAGGUCAUUUCCAUUAAUAACUACACAUGGUGCUUCUUCUGCUCAAACAUUUGAGGUAAACUCCUUAAAUUACUCUUUAAUUAUCGAACAGCGAAGCCUGACUGUGACUUUUUGGGGGGAAGAAAUGAAAGCAAAGCAAAAAAGAAUAACAAAGACAACAUUUUUAGUUCAUUCUGGCUUCAACAUAUUUGUUAGAAGAAAUUUCUUAAUUUUCUACUGCUACUGGGCUCCUUUAAGCAACAGAGAAUAGUAAAACUACCUCACAAGAGUCUGCGAUAAUUAAAGGAGCCUUUCAAGAGAUUUCUGUGUUCUCUGAAUCUGGCCUGUAAAGAACCUAACAAAACUCCUGUUGUGGUGACAGGCAUUUUUCCUCCAAGGAAGUUUACAAAAGCUGCAGCUCCAGUUACAGUAACCUUACCUCGGAUCCCAAUUUAGAAUGCCUCUCUCCCCACUGAUGUCAGCAAAGAUACCAGAUCAGAACAUCAGAACAGUUCAGUUCUUCUUUGGAAUAAAGGACAUCAUACACAUGCACAUUCCUGAUCCAAAGUCUACUGUAGUCAUUGGAAGGUUUUUCAACAGUUUCACUGAGUUCUAGACCACACAACGUCUAACACGACUGCUGCAACUUGACUUAACCCCAUAAUUAUAAAUCCAGCAAAAUGUUCAAGACCCAAACCUACUGAUCUCGGUGACAACCUUUGUCACUGACAUCAGUGACCCCUAAUUAUAUUUUAUAACAAUGAAGAGAUCAUUAGAAAAAAGCAUGGGUAGUAGUCACUGAGUAGAUCUUUGUUGGUUUUUUUUUCACCAAAACUUGCUUGGUAUGUUGGGUUUUUUUUUAGUCUUUUUUAAAGAGUAUGGGUUGUUCUCUCAUAAAUGUUAAUGAAAUGGAAAAGCAUAUAAGACAACAUGUCUAUGGCUUGCAAUGAUUUCUGACAAGACGAGAAAGAAACCUAGGCUCACCUUUUCACUCCUC